UGGGAUGUAGCUCAGUGGUAGAAUACUUGCCUACCAUGCAUGAAACCCUGGGUUUGAUCCCCAGCACUAA
rnacentral:tRNA from 1 species